rnacentral:lncRNA from 1 species
ACAGUUACACCAACUCCCUUCUGGGAGACACUGCAGUGAAGAUAUGGCAGAAAUAAUGCAUUUUGCCCAGCUUUAGUCAAACUUAUGAUUAAUGCAAUCACAAUUCAAUUCCAAUCUUUUUCAGCAUGCACAAAUCGAAGUUGCUACUCUUAACGUUAAACUGAAGCUUGAUAAUUUUGUUUGCAUCUAAAAUUAUUCCAACUCCCAAACUAUUUCUGUAUUUCACUGGCCUAUCGUGUCAAGGAAGAACACCAAUAAAAAAUAUAACAUCUAACAAAUCCCCGUGCCUUAAAAUAAAAUAACUUACAUCAUCAUUUAGAGCAGGAUUCUCUUUAUUAUCUUUGUGAUACGUGUCCCCAAGUCCUUCACUGAAAAUCUCGAUGCCUGGUGC